UACGGGAGCAGCAGUGGGGAAUAUUGCACAAUGGGCGCAAGCCUGAUGCAGCCAUGCCGCGUGUAUGAAAAAGGCCUUCGGGUUGUAAAGUACUUUCAGUCGUGAGGAAGGUGUUAAGGUUAAUAACCUUAGCAAUUGACGUUAGCGACAGAAGAAGCACCGGCUAACUCCGUGCCAGCAGCCGCGGUAAUACGGAGGGUGCGAGCGUUAAUCGGAAUUACUGGGCGUAAAGGGCACGCAGGCGGUUAAUUAAGUUGGAUGUGAAAUCCCCGGGCUUAACCUGGGAAUGGCAUUCAAGACUGGUUAGCUAGAGUCUUGUAGAGGGGGUAGAAUUCCAUGUGUAGCGGUGAAAUGCGUAGAGAUGUGGAGGAAUACCGGUGGCGAAGGCGGCCCCUGGACAAAGACUGACGCUCAUGUGCGAAAGCGUGGGGAGCAAAC
rnacentral:rRNA from 1 species